AUGCAACCUUGGAUUUCAGCUGGGGACGGUGGCAUGGCACCCCAGGAGGUGAUUGUGUUUGGGAAGCUUAAGUGGUUUGGCAAUGCUUUGGUUAGGAAGUUAGCACGACCGCUUCUCUGGGAGGUGCAGUCCUCUUUGAGGCCGGGCGACGAGCCAUACACUCCGCGCAGAGCGACGCGUAGUGCUAAGAGGGCUCCGGCCGCUAAGUCCAAGGAAUUGGACGGGAACGAUGAUACUAUUGCAGGGUUGACUGAGAUCUUCGACUCUCCUUUGAGGGAGCAGCACGUGAGGGUGAUGGCUGCUUUGUUUGGCAAGGAGGUGCCACCGGCUUGCCAGUUGAGCUCCGGCACAACAGUGCAUAGAAGGGACGUGUCCCCGGGCCCUUGGAUGGUGCUAGGAGACUUUAACAUGAUCAUUAGAGCUGAGGAGAAGAGCAACUUGAACCUCAACAGGGGCAUGAUGAGGACGUUUAAGGCAUUCAUGGACAACGACGAGCUCAAGGAGAUCUACAUGCAUGGUAGACGUUUCACUUGGUCCAAUGAAAGGGAGCAGGUGGUUAUGACCAAUAUCGAUCGAGGGCUUGUUUUCGCUGACCAGGAGCUCAAUUACCCGGAUGUUCUGCUCCAAGCUCUCUUGUCCAACAUCUCGGAUCACGCACCGCUUCAUCUGUCUACCUUUGCUCCGUUUUGCCCGAAGCAUAGGUUUCAGUUUGAGCAUUUUUGGACUCGGUUGGAGGGGGUUGAGAAAGCUGUGAAAGACGCUUGGGUGUGCGAUAACGACAUUGUUGAUCCCUUCAAGAGCGUCCUGGUCAGGAGCGGUGGGAGGCAUCGUCCUAGUCGGCUGGUCGUCCUGCCUGGAGUUCUGAGAGGAGGGAGGCAACCGGAGGACGGCUGGAGUACCUGGAAUUUCGACACCAGGCGGCGGCGAUGGCGUCCCCUGGAUGGCGGGGGUCGCUGGACCAGCACGCAGCAGCACUGCAGCAGCGCUUGCGCGGUCGUACGUGGAGGCGCCGGCGUGCUGGUCUUGGGCUCCUUGUGGCGCGUGGCGGCGUCACCGCACCGGGCAAGGGCUGCGGCGGGAGGGGCGGUUGCGCCCUAUUUGAAGCGGCGGCGGAGGGGGGCUGGUAUCCCUCCCCUUAUUCUCUAUCGCCAUGAAGGUGGAAGGAAUGAGGAGGCUAGAUUGAUCUGUCAGCCUCUCGGAUAUGUCGUUACAACACCGCUGGCGCAUAUCGUCGUUGCCAAUUUCGUAGCACCACCCCAUGCACUCUCAAUACAGGUCAAAAGUCAUCGGCCUCGCGGGUUACAACAUGCUCCCGGGCUGAUUGCAACUUCUAGCAUUGUCGGCCUUAGCUUUCUCCCACAAUGCUGGGAUACCCUCCCCUUAUGCUCUAUCACCAUGGAUAUGUCGUUACAACACCGUCGACGGGCGGUGGUAGCUGACGCAUAUCAUCGUCGCCACUUUGUAGCACCACCACUUGUGCUCUCAGCACCGAUCAAAAGUUGCCAGCCUCGUUGGUCACAACAUGUUCCUAGACGGGUCACAACUUCUACCAUUGAUUGCGGCCACCACCUGCAACCCCCCCUCCUUCCCACCCCCAUCUCAACCCCCGUAGGAUCUGUCGCUUCCUCGACCUGCAUCGGCGCCGCUUCCUCGAUCUGUCCCGGCGCCGUUUGGAUCGUUGCGGCGACGGCUUCGUUGGUCUUCAGCUCCGCCACCUACAUCCUGAAGGGGUACAAUCUCGUGGCUGGUAUGGAUCUGAACGCCCACCCUUUCCCUGAUCUGACUGCUACGAAUUCUCUGAGACUUUUUGAGAAACUAGAAGCAAACGGCGCGCUUUGCUGUGCCCGCUCCAAGCUUUUUAACAUGUCUAGUUUGCAAUCUGGACACACGAAACAAAUCUGGGCUCAUUUGGCUCCUUUGUCAUUUUCUUUGAUGCCCUAA
rnacentral:rRNA from 1 species